rnacentral:rRNA from 1 species
GCUCCUACGGGACGCAGCAGUGAGGAAUAUUGGUCAAUGGCCGGAAGGCUGAACCAGCCAAGUCGCGUGAGGGAAUAAGGCCCUAUGGGUCGUAAACCUCUUUUGCCGGGGAGCAAGGGCGGGGACGUGUCCCGGCCCGGAGAGUACCCGGAGAAAAAGCAUCGGCUAGCUCCGUGCCAGCAGCCGCGGUAAUGCGGAGGAUGCGAGCGUUAUCCGGAUUUAUUGGGUUUAAAGGGUGCGUAGGCGGGCUUUUAAGUCAGCGGUAAAAAUUCGGGGCUCAACCCCGUCCGGCCGUUGAAACUGGG